rnacentral:tRNA from 1 species
GCCGAGGUGGCGGAAUGGUAGACGCGAUAGACUCAAAAUCUAUUGAUCGCAAGAUUGUGAGGGUUCGACUCCCUCUCUCGGUA